rnacentral:rRNA from 1 species
UACGUAGGGGGCAAGCGUUGUCCGGAUUUAUUGGGCGUAAAGAGCUCGUAGGCGGUUUGGUAAGUCAGGUGUGAAAUCUCCACGCUCAACGUGGAGGGGCCACCUGAUACUGCCAUGACUGGAGUCCGGUAGAGGAGUGUGGAAUUCCCGGUGUAGCGGUGAAAUGCGCAGAUAUGCGGAGGAACACCGAUGGCGAAGGCAAUCCCCUGGACCUGUACUGGACGCUCAUGCACGAAAGCGUGGGGAGCAAACAGG